UAUCUGUUGCAAAUAUUUUUCCCAGGCUGCCAUUUACUUUUGAACUUCACUUACGAUGUUUUACACUUUUACCUGGACCUGGGAACACUGCAAUCUGUAAUAAUGACCACACCCACCUUCCAGAUCUUGCUUGGUGACACAAUUCUCUCCUGAAAGGAGCCAGGGCUCCUUGGAGCAGUGGCUGGUCCUGGGGCUGUGGCAGGAAACAAGCAAGGGCCUGCCAACAAGCCCCAGCUGGACCCAGAGGACAGAGGCUCCAGGCUCCAUCAAGGAGGGUGAAUGACACCUGCCCUAAGGCUCCAGCUCCUGCCUGCUGGGUGUUCAGGGGUCUUUCUAGAGAACAGAACAAUGUCCUGGGUGGAGGACGAGAAUCCUAAGUUGUUCCUUAUGAGUCUGACCAAAACCCUGAGCUAGGGGAAGACCCCAGCUCUGCACCCUGGUCCUGUAGAUCUUUGGAGGGGCUGGGCAGCCCACAUGUGACACACAUUGUCUUUGUGACACACACACAGCCAGGGGUUCUAGGCCCCUGCAGAAUGAGCAAUCAUGGACAAGGCCCAGCCCCCAGGAGUGGGCUCUAGAGCCACUCCUGCAUCUGUGUGUCCCUCCCUCCAGCAGGACAGUCCAGUCUGUCCUUCCAAACCUCAGAGAUUCCAAGAACCAAACCUGAUACCCCCUGAGGCGAGAACUAGUCCAGUGACACUGCCAACAGGAAGCCUUCACCCACAUCCAGGAGAGGCACCUGCUGUGGUUCCUGCCACCGCCAGUGUGGGUGGCCCAGGGAGACUUCCUUGGGCUCUGUUUACCCAACUUAGUGCUGGUUUCCCAGGCCAGCACCCCUUCUCCAAAAGAGGCAGUGGCCAGCAGGUUCCAGCACAACACCAGCCUGCAGGUACCUUUUUGGGUUUUUGCCUUGACCCCAGGCAUGAGUUCUGAUGUUGGUUUGCCUCAUUCCAGCCUUGGUGCAUUCUGCUUUCUGAGGGAUGCCCAGUCAGCUAGGCGUGGAGCACUAUUGCACUGAGUUUCUCCAUUUGGGGGAUAUUUUAUUGACAUUUUUUAAAAAGCAUAAGUUUCAGGAGACACUAAGAAUAAAGUAAAAGGUUAGUCACAGACUGGGAGCUAACGUUCACAAUAUAUGUGUCUGGCAGAGGACUUGUAUCCAGAAUAUAUAAAGAACUUUCACAGGUCAGUAAGGAGACACACAAUCCAACAGAAGUGAGCCUGCCAAAGAUGUGAACAUACAUUUCACCAAAAAAGAUAUAUGGAUGGUUAAUAGAGACAUGAAAUGCCACUUAAAACCACACUGAAAAUGCUAAGCAUAGUGGUGCAUACCUGUAAUCUCAGCACUCAAGAGGUUAAAAUAGGAGGAUUGAGUUCAAGGUCAUCCUAGGCUACAUAGCCAGAACCUGUCUCAAAGCAACUAUGACAAAAUUAAAACCCUACAUGGCCCAAAAAUAGAAACAGUCGAUCUAUUUUCUGCCAUUUAAAGGAAGAAAUUAUUUCUGUCCAAUGGCCCCAUCCUCGCUCUACCUCUUUUAGGUCCAUAGUUCUAUGUCUAUUCUGUGAUGCUGUUCCACAUGCAGGUAGAUUCAGUGUUGUACAUAGCUGUUUUUAAAUAUACUCCCAUAUAUUUUCUUACAAGGUCCAGGUUGAUUUCAUAUAUAUUUAGCAGAGUUUGUGUCCUCCUCUUCAGUCCUCGGAUUUAAGUAGCUCUGGGCUCCCACACACUGGCUGUGGCAUGUCCAUACCUGUCUGUCCAUGCCCAGUCCUGUUUGUCUGGAUUUCCCUCUUGGUGGUGCUGUCAGGCACUAAGCAGGUUUGGUUUUUCAGGACUGUGGGCAGCAUUCCCUGAGAGGUGAUGUGUUUCCUGAUCUUUGGAGCAAUGCUUUGCUGAAUAAUGCUCUCUUUUAAAACAGCGUGCUCACUUUCUUUCAAUACGCGUUCACUGAGACACAUCGUUCCCGCUAUUUGUUGUGGUGUAGUGACCCACAUAUCUCAGAAUCCAGGGUGUCCCAAGUUCACAGCAGCAGGUGGAAGCAGCCCCAGCAUCCAUUGGGGAUGAAUGGAUGAACAGAAUGUGGAACAUACAUGCAAAGGAAGAUCAUUCAGCAAGGAAAGGCGUCCUGGCACAAGGGACGGUAUGCUGAGUGAUGUAGACAGACACGAAAAGGACAAAUACCGUUUGAUUCCAUUCAUAUGAAGGACCUGGAGUAGUCAGGUUCCUAGAAGCAGAAGUGGAAGGAAUAUUGGUUGCCAGGGCCUGGGAAAGAGGGAGUGGAGUUGUUGUUUCAGGGAUGCAGAGUUUCAAUUUGGGAAGAUGAAAAAGUCCUGGAGAUGUGCUGAACAAAAAUUUGAAGAUGCUGAACACUACUGGACUGUAGCUACAAAUGGCUUGUUGCAUGUAAUCUACCACAACUUAAGAAACAGACUGGGUGUGGUGUCUCACAUCUGUAAUCCCAGCCCUCAGGAGGAUCGAGAGUUUGAGACCAGCUUGGGCUUCAUAGUGAGACUGUCUGAAACAAACAAAACAAAACACUAAGACCCACCCCCUGUGCCUGCUCCUAGACACUUCUCAACUCAUCCCUGACUUCUAACGUUUUCGAGUGGUGUGAACGCCAGGCAAACCUCCAGGAUGUGUUUUUCUUUUCUUUCCUUUUUUCUUCUUUUGGUGGGACUGGAGUAUGACCUCAAACCUUCGUGCUUGCAAAGCAGGAGCUCAAGAUUCUUCAGGCGCACCUCCAAUCCAUUUUGCUCUGGUAUUUUGGAGAUGGGGGUCUCGAGAACCAUUUGUCCCUGCUGGCCUGGAUGGAACUUGGUCUUCCAAGUAGCUAGGAUGACAGGCGUGAGCCACCAGUGCCGGCCAAGGUAUGUUCUUUAUGUCUUCUGCUUCUUCUGCUGCUGCAGAGACUUGCACUGGAGGAAUUUGCACCAUUGUUUGUCAUUUUACCAUUAGCGAACCUUUGGGUUGUUGCUGGCGUGGGGCUUUUGUGACUAAAGCUGCUGUGAAUAUCAUAUACGUACCUUUCAGUAUGUGCAUUUCUUUCUGGUAAUUUCUAGGAAUCUAUUAAUUAUUAUUUUGGGGAGGGGGAGGUGCUAUGACUUGAAC